rnacentral:rRNA from 1 species
GAUAAUAUAUUUCAAUUUUUAUUAGUAUUAAUAUAUUUUAAAAUUAAUAAAUUUUAAGAAAAAAGAUUAUUAGGUGAAAUUUUAAUUUUUAAGGAAAAAUUAUUUUUAGUGAUUAUUAAUAAGUUUAUUAAUAAACUAGGAUUAGAUACCCUAUUAUUAUAAAGGUAAAAUUAAACUAGAUUAGUAUUAGUUAUGUUCUUUAAAAUUAAAGAUUUUGGCGGUUUUUUAGUCUAUUCAGAGGAAUCUGUUCUAUAAUUGAUAGUCCACGAUUAACUUAACCUUUAUUAUAAAUUUAUAUAUCGUCGUAGUUUGAAUAUUUUUAUAGAAUUUAAAUAUUCAAAAUUUAUUUUUUAAAAUAUAUCAGAUCAAGGUAUAGUUAAUAUAGAGGUAGAAAUGGAUUACAUUAAUUUAAAUUAAGGAUUAUUUAUUGAAAAUAAAUUUAAAUAAGGAUUUGAAAGUAAUUUUUUUGAUAUAAAAAAAAUGAUUUUAGCUCUAAAAUAUGUACAUAUCGCCCGUCGCUUUCAUUUUAAGGUGAAAUAAGUCGUAACAAAGUAGGUUUACUGGAAGGUGUACCUAGAAAGACAAGUUAGAGCUUGUUUAUAAAGUGUUUUAUUUACAUUAAAAAGUUAAUUGUGAAAUUCAAUUUGACUUGAUUAUAGAAUGUUAUUAAAUAUUUUUAAAUUAAAUUAAAUUAAAAAAAUAAAUUAUUUUUUAGUAAAUAUAAGAAAAAAUUAAAAUUAUAAUAGAUUAUUAGUAUUGAGAAAGAAAUAUAAUAAAAAUUUUUAAAGAAAAAAAAUGUUUU